UACGGAGGAUCCGAGCGUUAUCCGGAGUGACUGGGCGUAAAGAGUUGCGUAGGUGGUCGUAUAAGCGAAUAGUGAAAUCUGGUGGCUCAACCACUUAGACUAUUAUUCGAACUGUACGACUUGAGAGUGGUAGAGGUAACUGGAAUUUCUAGUGUAGGAGUGAAAUCCGUAGAUAUUAGAAGGAACACCAAUGGCGUAGGCAGGUUACUGGACCAUUUCUGACACUAAGGCACGAAAGCGUGGGGAGCGAACCGG
rnacentral:rRNA from 1 species